rnacentral:rRNA from 1 species
UUAUAGGUAGGGGAGCGUUCCGUUCUCGGGUGAAGUUUUCACGUAAGUGGGGAUGGACGGUACGGAAGUGAGAAUGUUGGCUUGAGUAACGAAAACAUUGGUGAGAAUCCAAUGCCCCGAAAACCUAAGGGUUCCUCCACUAGGUUCGUCCAUGGGGGGUUAGUCAGGACCUAAGGCUAGGCAAGUACACAAUUUGCGUCGUCGAUGGCAAACAGGUUAAUAUUCCUGUACUAAUUAAAUUAGGAUCUGAGGGACGAAGGAGGCUAAGCUGGAACUGUUUUUGGAUUGCAGUGGAAGCGUUUAGACGUUGAGAGAUCGAACAAAAACGAUCUUGAGUGGAGGCGUAAUCCCUACUUUUUGGUUCGCCAAAAAGUAGCUAGUGAUGUCAUACUUCCAAGAAAAGCUCAUACAUCUUUAUAAUUUAAUUACCUGUACCUGAAACCGACACAGGUAGGUUGGUAGAGAAUACUAAGGGGCGCGAGAGAACUCUCUCUAAGGAACUCGGCAAACUGGCCCCGUAACUUCGGAAGAAGGGGCGCCCAGGAUUCAUUUCUUGGGUCGCAGUGACCAGGCUCAGGCGACUGUUUACCAAAAACACAGGUCUCCGCAAAGUCGUAAGACAAUAUAUGGGGGCUGACGCCUGCCCAGUGCCGGAAGGUUAAGGAAGUUGGUUACUGUUAAAGGGAAGCUGACGACCGAAGCCCCGGUGAACGGCGGUCGUAACUAUAACGAUCCUAAGGUAGCGAAAUUCAUUGUCGAGUAAGUUUCGACCUGCACGAAAGGCGUAACGAUCUGAGCGCUGUCUCAGAGAGAGGCUCGGUGAAAUAGACUUGUCCCGUGAAGAUGCGGACUACCUACACCUGGACAGAAAGACCCUAUGAAGCUUGACUGUAUCUUGGAAUUGGGUUCGGGCUUUUCUUGCGCAGCCUAGGUGGGAGGCGUUGAAGAUUACCUUCCGGGGUAGUUGGAGCCAUCAGUGAGAGACCACUCUGGAAGAGCUAGAAUUCUAAUGGGGAUCCUUGAAUCAGGACCCUUGACAGUUUCAGGUGGGCAGUUUAUUUGGGGCGAAUACCUCCUAAAAGGUAACGGAGGUGUGCAAAGGUUCCCUCAGUCUGGACGGAAAUCAGACAUUGAGUGUAAAGGCAAAAGGGAGCUUGACUGCAAGACCUACAAGUCGAGCAGGGGCGAAAGCCGGCCUUAGUGAUCCGACGGUGCCGAGUGGAAGGGCCGUCGCUCAACGGAUAAAAGUUACUCUAGGGAUAACAGGCUGAUCUUCCCCAAGAGUUCACAUCGACGGGAAGGUUUGGCACCUCGAUGUCGGCUCAUCACAUCCUCGGUCUGUAGUAGGUCCGAAGGGUUGGGCUGUUCGCCCAUUAAAGUGGUACGUGAGCUGGGUUCAAAACGUCGUGAGACAGUUUGGUCCAUAUCCGGUGUAGGCGCUAGAGCAUUGAGAGUAGCCUUUCAUAGUACGAGAGGACCUGAAAGGACAUGCCAAUUGUGUACCAGUUCUCAUUCCAAUGGGAAACGCUGGGUAGCUACGCAUGGAUAGAUAACUGCUGAAAGCAUCUAAGUAGGAAGCUAAACUCAAGAUGAGUGCUCUCUAAGGCCGCGGCUAGACAAGCCGUUAUAUAGGUAUCAGGUGUACAGUCAGCAAUGGCUUCAGCCGAGAUAUACUAAAGGCCGUUUGAUUUUGAC